AUGGAGGUGGUUGCGGCGACGAAUCUCGGCGGACGCCGUCCUCCAUGGCAGGACCUCCCGUCGGAGCUGCUGGGCCUCGUGCUCCAGCGCGUGCUCUCCCACGCCGACCGCGUCCGCCUCCGCGCCGUCUGUCGCCAGUGGCGCUCCGGCGCGCGCCUGCAGCCUCCGCUGCCGCCGCUGCUCCCGUGGCUCGCCCUCCGCGACGGCUCCUUCCUCAGCCUCUCCGACGGCGAGGUCCACCGCCGCGGCCUCGCCCCGGACGACAACGUCGCGCACCGCUUCUCCACCGGCAGCAAGCUCUUCCUCGUGCACAAUGACAAAAGGUUCUCGUGCUCGCUGGUGAACCCUCUCGCUCGGGAGACGACGGCCACCCAGCGCAUCAACCUCAACCGCCUCCGGGCUCGGCGGGGCGUCCUGCUCGACGCCGGCAACAUCCGCAAGGUGGUGGUGAUGUCCGACCACAUUACCGCCGUCCAGACGGGGAGCCAGGUGAGCGGUCGGAAGGUGAUCACCAUCUCCAUCCGCAGGCCCCAGUCAACGACCGUGGAAUGGCAGUGGCAGUGGAUCCCCCAUGGAGGCACCUACUGA
rnacentral:rRNA from 1 species